ACAACUUCCACUUAGAAGAUAGCCUGGAUACCACCAUCAGAGAAAUACCAAGAUGUUAAAUAUUUGGAAAUGAGAGCCGUAUGAGUCGAAGAGCCUAGAAUUUCCAUUCAGAAGUCAACAACAGCGUGUAGGGCUUUCCUUUUUCUGACUUUAGAUCUGGGCCCACAAUAGGGAUCUAUCCUGAGCAGAUGUGAGGUCAGUUGAGUGGAACAGUUCCAGUGGAGAGGACAGAGACUGCAAUAGGUCAAGACCCUUUUAUAUCAUCAAUCUGGAGCACACUGGAUGCUGUAGACUGGUCACGACCAGAAGACUACAGUGAUCUGAGAAGACAUGGAGAAGAGCAGUAGGCUCUGCUAAAUAGCUGUGUUCUCAUGUCCUGACAGAUGCCAUAAACACAAUGUCUCCAGCUCAGCUUCCUCCUCGGCCGUUACAGACAUAUGGAUCACAUUAUGCUUAGAUUUACAAUAUUGAUGCUCCUUACUAAACUAGGUAUUUUUCUUCUCUUUUAAAAAGACUUCUUCUGGAAUAUAGCUAUACAUUGUAAGCAGGAAUA
rnacentral:lncRNA from 1 species